UAAACAAAUCAGACCUAAUUAAACUUAUAAGCUUUUGCACAGCAAACUCACACCGUAAAUGAUGGUGCCAAGUCUCAAACUCAGAAAGUCUAAUUCUUGGACAUGCCUUCUUAACUAUUCUGAGUAGAAUUCUUCUAUUAAAACAUUAGAUUCAUUAUUAUCAAGUGUCUUCAGUUUACAUGCAUUGUGAGUUUAGAGGACUUUUCUCUGAGGGGAGAAACCUAUUGAUUUUCCUCUUCUUUAACUUAUACCCCCAUCUCCACUCCCACACAUAUAAAAUUUUCUCUACUGUGAUCUAAGGUGUUAGAAUAAUAAAACUCUUUGGCAACUUUCUGAUUGUUCUGUUGAUGAUUUCUUGGAUGACCUAAACAUAUCAUUAAAGAUUUCUCAUUGUUUUUAUGAAAAUCAAAUAAAUAAAAUAAAACAAAAUUUGUUUUUAUCCUGUGUUGUUCUAAUUGCCAUCUGAAUUCGGGGCACACUCCUUAAUGCAGCACUGAAGACCCUCUGAAAUCCUGAGGCAGUCAAUGGCUAUACUCAUUUUUCUCACUCCGGCUUCCCAUAUAUCGUAAGUCAAACUCCACCUGAAAUUCUGGUAUUUCCUUGGGCUGUCCUGUUCUUUCAUACUUGUUUUUGUUCCUGUCUUGAGUGCCGUCUGCCUCUCUGUUGAAAUCCGAGGCGCUGUUAAGGGGCCAACGUCUGGGCAGCCUCCCCAACCCCUCACACCUGUCCCUCAGACUCCAUUUGCUAAGCCAUAGUACUUUCACAGGAUUGUACUUUGUUUAUAUCUUUAUAGCCACUCAGUGAGAAUUCUAUUUGGUGCACUUUCAAAGAAAUUAGGAAGGACGGCUUGCCUGCUAAAGUAAUUCCACCAUCUGGCUCCUGUUGCCUACAGUUUUACAAUUAAAACCAGAAGCGAAUUUGCCACAAAGCUAACAAAGUUUCAGCUUCAGCGUCCUCUACUUGAACAGGCCCCUGUGAGUGCUGGGAGUUGUAGGGUGUUCUUGGUGGAGAAUGGAGGCAGGAUGCUAUCAGGAAGCAUGUCUAUGUAAUCAUAUUUGUAAAUUUUGUAAAGAGAUCUAAAAAUACAGACGUACACAAAUCUCCAGGUCUUCAAUGUUUUGUUGGCAUUUCUUUUCUUAUUCUAAAGUAAUGAUGACUUUCAUUUCCAGUUUUGUAUUUGUCAUUUUGUAUUCUUCUUCUUAGAGAGUCCCGCAAAUUAUACAAACUUCAAGUCUCACAAAAUUUGGAUCCAUCUCUAGUUAUUACAUUAUUCCACUGACUUAAGUCAUUCAGAGUAAUGCCUUGCCUGAUUUUUGUCUUCCAACAUAUUUCAUUUUACUGCUGGGGAUAUUAAGCUACCUCUUAGAUAAAAAUCAAACCCUGUUAGAAAUUAGUCCUAUUUGCAGCAAAACAUAAAAGCAGGAGCUCAUUCUGUCUGCAAAAGUCAACGAUGUUAUGGAUCCUUUUCUGGUCUUGUAUGGUAGUCAAAUUCCAGGCAUUGCGUACUUUUUCCAUUUCUUGCCAUUGCCUGUCCUAUUCUGAUAACUAAGUUCUUUUCUUGUUUGCCUGUGUCUUGAGUACCUGCCUUGAAAAUCUGUUGGGGAAUAUAGUCUUAGAGGUGGAGAAAAGGACAUACCUGUUAGGGAAAGCUUGGACUCAAGCCUCUAGGGAGACUAGUUACUGGAUUGAUUAAGCACACACACACAGCAACAGCAAAAUAACAACAUCAAGGACAACAGAAACGGUGGUGUUAUGAGAAUGGAGACCAGCAUGAGUGAAGCCAACAGAGGGGAAAUGAAGGGCAGUAGGGAGCUGACUUGCUAAGAGAUGGGUAGAAAGGGAGGAUAAAGAACGGUUUGUUAGAAAGAGUUUUGGGACAUUGGAGGGCCUUAAUGGCUAAAAAUGAGAAUUACCAUUUAUCUUAGCUUGCCCUGACAGUAACAGACAAUAUUUCUGGUUUUUAUUCCUUAAGUUAACCCUUAGAUAUUGCUUUAAGAUAUUCUAAAUCAUAUUAAAAAGAUUAGCAUCUAUUUAUGGAUAAUGGAAGUAUGUAGGAUUCAAAGUAUAUUGAUAGUAUCUGAAUAAAAUUAUCAGUACAUUUCUGUUGGCUAAGGUUAUAGAUGCUCUUAUUACAUCCUUUUUUCCUCUCUUUCUGACACCUUUUCUGCAUUAAGCAUUUAGUAAUUUUUUAAUUAGGGGAAUACUGUUACUAUUAACAAUGUUUGGAGAAAGAUAUAAAAAUAAAUACUCAAAAAUGGACUCAAAGGACAUUGUCAAUUUAUUUAUAAUAAUUAUCUUUAGAUAAUUGAAAUAUAUGGGUUAUAAUCAUCAUCAUCAUCUUCAUCAUCAUCAUAUGUUGUGUGAGUAGAUUGAUCCAAGUUUGUAUAAUCUGGUAUUUAUUAAUUUUGAAAUAAGAAAAAUAAGUAACAUUUUACAAGGGAAAUACAAGAAGAAAUAUUCUGAAAUAUUAUGGAUGAUUUUCUUUUAGGUGGUGAUGUAUAGGCAGUUCUUUCUUUUGACAUUUUCUUUUGAACAAUUUCUAUAAUGGAAACCAUUAGCAGUUAAACUAUUUAAAAUUAAGUCAACAUGUAAAUAUCUUAGUAUUGCAUAAUAUAGUUUUUGUGUAUAACCAUUUCUAGAAAUGGUUUCAGAAAGCCGUAUUAUGUUUUAGUCACCAUAUCUUCUUAAGAACUAACUAGUGUAUUUUCUCUUAUGCAUAUCUUUUUUGACAAUAUCUAUUUUGAACAUCUCAUAAAAUUGUUUUAAAUGUUGGAUAAAUUCAUUGCUUUAUGCAGUAAACAUCAUGUUAGAAUAAGUUAAGAAUAAAUAGUUAUUUCUUCUGCAAUAGUAUGUCAAACUUCUUUCAUUUUAAUGCUGGAUAUGUGACAGUAAAUGAAAAUAUUUUCAGAACUGUUUUCAUCAAUAGUCUGUCUAACACAAGUGGUUAAAUAGAAAACCAUAGCCUGUAGUUACUAAAUGAUAGUUUUAUUCCCUUCAAAGUGAUUUUUCACUGGGUUGGCUGCUCUUGUAGAAUUUUGCUUAAGACUCUAAGACUUGUAUUAGAAGGCAGCUGUGACUUAGUCUUGCUUUGAAUUCUUAUUAAUAUAGUACACAAAGAAAGGACAACUAGUCAAAGAACCAAAAAGUAUACAUCUUAAUCCUAAAAGAACUAUCACUUCAAAGUGAAUUACAGCACUAUACAGAAAAAGGCUUGCAUUGUUAUUUAAGUUCAUCCAUUCAUUUCAACAGGAUUAAAAUAAAUGAUGCACUUGCCUCACAUGGCAUUGAAAUUCGUCGUGAUGAAAGAAUAGGGUGAACUUCAAAGGUGCAAUGUGCAAGAUUUAAGAUUUGAUGGAGGGAUUUACUUCUCAAAUUGUCAUUGCCAUUGAUUGGAUUUACUAAUCAAUGAGCAAGAAUUGACUGAAAUGAGAAGCUGUGCCUAAAACUGGCCUUCUGUGGAGCCGCCUGCUCCAAUGAGCACUCCAUUCAGCUGUCAAAUCCCAGAAGACCCAUUAGCCCUUAACCAAAUGACAGCCUGUAAAGUUCCUUGGAGUGAAGAAUUAGGUUGAGCUGUUAACCUUCCCCAUGCAAAGGACAACAAAGAAAUUCUAGUAAGAGAACACAUUAGAAAACCCUCAUGUGAGAGUGGAGUAUCCUUAUGUCUAACAUAAGGAUGUUAGACAAAAGGGAGCUGAGAAGAAUCCUAACAAACAGGACUUGGCUGCCGUGAAGUAAGUCUGCAGGCUGCUGCCCAGCGGUUCUGCAGCUCACCCCUGCGAAAGAACAUUUUUGAGGCUAGAUCCAUCAUUCUCCACCUUCUUCUGUGACCUGUGAGAUCAUCAUUUUUGAACCAUAUCAGUAGAUGUCUUUGCCUUUUGGCUUCUGGUUUGGUCAGGAGAGGCCAUGGAUUUGGGCAUUUGUAAUGCAGGCCUUGUCCUUUACUCUUCUUGUGUUAUUCCUCAUUCUUUGGAGGAAACAUGACACCGGAGCUCUUCAUGGGACAAUCAGAUCUACUUGUGAUGCCCUUAUGUUGAAAAACAUCUCACAUAAAGUGGCAGUUUAGAGAAAAUAUCUCUAAAUUCUCAGCGACAAUACCUCCAACUUGCAGCGCCACCUCGUGGCUGCCUUGCGACACCAGCGCGACCCCGGCGCGACCCCGGCUGUUUUGGCCACCAGGCGGCGCUCGUUUUCCGCCCGGAUAUCCGCCCCCGUCGAGGCCCAACUACGGCGGCUGCGCGACGCUUCUGCAGUUUUAGACCGUCUGUAAAACUUAGACUUGGAGAAAUGGUGGAGCACGAGAUGGAAGAAAGCCUUGGUCUCAAGGACCUUGUGGAAGCUUAUCUGCUGACACAAUGGGGUCAUGACUGUGAACCUGGACACCAUGGCAUGGGCUAAAAGCUGGAGAAGACUGAUUCAUCAGCUUAUGCCUGUUAAGAUA